GUGUCAGCAGCCGCGGUAAUACAGAGGUCCCAAGCGUUGUUCGGAUUCAUUGGGCGUAAAGGGUGCGUAGGCGGCGCCGUAAGUCGGAUGUGAAAUCUCGGGGCUCAACCCCGAAACUGCAUUCGAUACUGCGGUGCUAGAGGACUCUAGAGGAAACUGGAAUUCACGGUGUAGCAGUGAAAUGCGUAGAUAUCGUGAGGAAGACCAGUGGCGAAGGCGGGUUUCUGGAGAGUUCCUGACGCUGAGGCACGAAGGCCAGGGGAGCAAACGGGAUUAGAUACCCCGGUAGUCC
rnacentral:rRNA from 1 species